CAAAGUGUUUGCAAUUCAAAGCGAAUUUCACAUUUUAGACUACAAUAGCCAAACUGUAAAAAGUCUCCAAGUCAGCUAUUUUGCCCCAAGAUUUGUAAUUCACUAUAAUUUCCCAAUAAUUCACAUUUUAUAGACCUAUUCACUAAACUGAGAAUUCAACGUGAAUUCAAAUAGAAUUUCAAUUUUAAAGCCAAACUAGCUGAACUGAUAACAGAAUUGAAUUGGAGAAGUUACCUAAUUUUGCUAUUGUGAAUUAAAA